UACGGGGGGGGUAAGCGUUGUUCGGAAUUACUGGGCGUAAAGGGUUCGUAGGUGGCCAACUAAGUCAGACGUGAAAUCCCUCAGCUUAACUGGGGAACUGCGUCUGAUACUGGUCUGGCUUGAGUGCAGGAGAGGAACGCGGAAUUCCAGGUGUAGCGGUGAAAUGCGUAGAUAUGUGGAGGAACACCGAUGGCGAAGGCAGCCUUCUGGGCCAACACUGACGCUCAUGCACGAAAGCGUGGGGAGCAAACAGG
rnacentral:rRNA from 1 species